rnacentral:tRNA from 1 species
GCCUGGGUGGCUCAGUGGUUGAGCGUCUGCCUUUAGCGCAGAUUGUGAUCCUAGAUCCUGGGAUCCAGUUCCACAUCAGGCU